rnacentral:sRNA from 1 species
CCUAUUGGAACAGGAGUGAUGCCCUCUGUCCAUAGGUAUAGCACAGGCAGCAGCCGCACCAGCUUUCCUCCAUCACCCUGCAAAUGUGCCUCUGUCGUGACCUAGUGGGAGCCCCACAAGGAGGAGUGGGGAGUUCGGUCUCCAUGGCCCAUUUGAUCCUUGUUCUCU